GUGGGCACAACCAAUCCAGCGAUUACAGGGGGCAAGUGUGAAUGCCUUCCGUGUGUGUGCACUUUACAGUAAUUCCUGUAAUAAGCAACCCACCGGGGACAAGGUGGCCCGGGGGUGGCGGAGACAGACCUGGAAUCCGCGCGUUCCCUGCCAUGACCCUACACCGCGCAGCACGUGGGCACGAGCCUGCAGAGUCAGAGAGCAAGUCUUCACCCGGAUUUGUCGCCGUGUCUCAUUUUUCGGUGAUUCUGAUGGAGUCAUCGUCACCCUCACCCAGUGCAAGGUGUAACUGUACCCGUGCACCCCUGGGGUCACCGCACCCAUUCUCUCGGCGCCUGGUUUCCCGGGGUGGGGGGGUACCAGCUCCGUCUCGGGGACCCCAUCCUUGUCACUGAGCUGGGAGGGGGAGGAGCCAGCAGGGCAGGGGGAUGCCACCUGCGGGCCCCAGAGUCCCUCCGGCUCUGCCUCCCCGCCCGGUCUAAUCCGACCUUCCCUAGGUUGAGGGGGCCACAGACAUGAAGCCAGGAACUCCGUGGAGGGAAGCAGCCCAGCCUGAGUCCUCGGGGCUCUUCCCCAGGUGACAGAAAGAAGGUGGCUGCUGGGUCCCAGGGUGGGGGGCGGUGACAGCAAAAGGUCCCCCUUUAGCCCUCCCCUUUCUGUGUGUUCAAGCACCCAAGGAUCCUUCCUGGACACGUUCCUGAUUAUCCACACGGGUAUCGUCUGAACUGCACGCUUCUGUGUCCGCGAAGAUGGGGGACGAACCCUGCCCCCACACCCGUCGGGCCCACAUGCCGCGGGGGUCACGCCAGCAGCCUUGCUAACGCUCACUCGAUCUUGGAUCUUCGCUGGAGGACAGCAGCAGGCAGGACAGAGCGGUGCAGGCUGGCUGGUCUUUGUCACCGAGGAGCGGGACGUUCGAAGCCAGGGGCCAGCAGAUGAAACACCAAGCGGCUGGAAAUGAGACCCCCACAUUGAACAGACCCCUUCGAAAGGCACUAGAGAAGGGAAUGUUCCAGGGGUAAAGGGGGGGUGUCAAGGAAGCUGGUCCUCACUGACGCCGGCUGCACGACCUCAGAAAGUCCAGGCCAAUAUUUGUAUGAAGGGGGUAGCAGGCUGGGAACACCCAGGGCUCCCGCAGAAGUCCCCCUGCAGGGCGACAGCAUUCACUGUUACCCCGGAGGCCCCUUGGCCACACUGCUUCGUGGGACACGGAUGCCAGGCUGCCCAAUCUCCAGGGGAAGCCGGCAGAUGAAGCCACCUAGGGUCUUGUCAAAAACCACAGCCCCCGAGUGGUGUCACUUUGGCCGGGUGACUUUACGCCUGACCUGACCGUGGGUCGAGCCUCCCGCAGAAAUGUAGUCUCAGCCUGGGAGUCAGGAAUUCUCCGGUGGGCCCAGAUGGGGUGACCGGUCUCCUGGACCUUCUCCACUGCCCCCGCCCCAGGAAGAGGAGGGGAUCUGCGGGAUCAACCCCCACCCACCCAGGGAAGGCGACCCGGCCUGAAACAACCCUUCCUUUCUCUUGCUAGCAACUUCCUUGUCCCACCCUCCUUCCUACAAAAACCUUCCAUCUUGUUGGGAAUCGAGCCCCCCUGUACUCGCUGGAUGGGGCGCUGCCCCAUUCGUGAGUGGCUCAAUAAAGCCCGUCAGAUCUUCAAAUUA